rnacentral:rRNA from 1 species
CACGUAGGGGGCGAGCGUUGUCCGGAAUCAUUGGGCGUAAAGAGCUCGUAGGCGGCUCGGUAAGUCGGGUGUGAAACCCCCAGGCUCAACCUGGGGACGCCACCCGAUACUGCUGUGGCUAGAGUCCAGUAGGGGAGUGUGGAAUUCCCGGUGUAGCGGUGAAAUGCGCAGAUAUCGGGAGGAACACCAGCGGCGAAGGCGGCACUCUGGGCUGGAACUGACGCUGAGGUGCGAAAGCGUGGGGAGCAAACAGG